rnacentral:tRNA from 1 species
CUCUUGGUAGUUUAAUUCAAAACGCUAGCUUUGCAAGUUGGUAAUGGGCCAUCCCCCCAAGUGA